GCUGUGUACAAUGAAAAAUGCAAGCACGGUUUGGGGAGGGAUUUUUUUCUUUUAAAUUUCAAUUUAUUUAAUUGAAACAAGGAAAUUAUCUACUCCAUCCGACUAGUUCCGGGUUUGAGUCCCGGGCGAUGAUCAGUAGCUGGUCUGAGAGGAUGAUCAGCCACACUAGGACUGAGACACGGCCCAGACUCCUACGGGAGGCAGCAGUUGGGAAUUUUCUGCAAUGGGCGAAAGCCUGACGGAGCAAUGCCGC
rnacentral:ncRNA from 1 species